UCUCGGUGUGGUUGCCUCGACUGGCGAC
rnacentral:piRNA from 1 species